ensembl:lncRNA
CUCCCUUCUUCACAACCAUCUCAAUGUGCUCAGUUGGCCCAUCAGUCAGAUGCCAUCCUCUGUGUGCAGUGCAGAUUGUUGUCCUGGAUUCAGAAGAUUCUGGAAGGAGGGAAUGGCAGCCUGCUGUUUUGUUUGUAGCCCCUGCCCUGAAAAUGCAAGUUCUAAUGAGACAAGUGAGUGUUUGCUGCUCUGAUAAAUUCUGAAGAUAUAUAUUCCUCUUGUGCCCCAAUGGGAUUAUAAAGUCAAUUAACAGGCAACUGAAAAUAUAAAAUAUAUUACUUUUCUAACUUACUAGUUGUAGAUAUAAAAAUAAUUAACAAAUCUU